rnacentral:RNase_P_RNA from 1 species
CCAGUGAGAAAGGUGCUCGCAGCAGGUAUAACCUGCUGAGGAAAGUCCGGGCUCCACAGGGCAGGACACCGGGUAACACCCGGCCGGCGCGAGCCGAGGGAAAGUGCCACAGAAAAUAUACCGCCUCACCCUUGUGGUGGGGUAAGGGUGAAAAGGUGGGGUAAGAGCCCACCGCUUCUUCCGCGAGGAAGAAGGCAUGGUAAACCCUGUCCGGAGCAAGGCCAAAUAUGGGGGCAGGUUGGCCCGACCAAUGCCCCCGGGUAGGCUGCAUGAGCUAUCCUGUAAAGGAUAGCCCAGAUACAUGAGCACCACCUUCCCUAUGGGAAGGUACAGAACCCGGCUUACUUCUCACUGGGACC